GACGAGGGACCCUAGCGUUGUUCGGAAUCAUUGGGCGUAAAGCGGGUGCAGGUGGCUUUGUAAGUCAGGUGUGAAAGCCGAGAGCUUAACUCUGGAAGUGCAUUUGAUACUGCGAAGCUUGAGUGCUGGAGAGGUUACUAGAAUUCCAGGUGUAGUGGUGAAAUACGUAGAUAUCUGGAGGAAUACCGGAGGCGAAGGCGGGUAACUGGCCAGACACUGACACUCAGACCCGAAAACGUGGGGAUCAAACAGG
rnacentral:rRNA from 1 species